rnacentral:rRNA from 1 species
UGUAAGCGUAUACCAAAGUUGUUGCAGUUAAAACGCUCGUAGUCGGAAUUUGGCAGUUCCGGAUGUGUGCACGUCGUGUGCGCACUUCGCGGGGAUUGCUUUUGUGGUCUUGCGUAGGAUGAGGCACUUUUAUUAGUGAACGUCCUCACGCAACCACUUUUUACUGUGAGAAAAUCAGAGUGCUCAAAGCAGGCAUUUGCCGUGAAUGUAUUAGCAUGGAAUAAUAGAAUAGGAUUUGGUUCUAUUUUGUUGGUUUGUUGGGACUGAGUAAUGAUUAAGAGGGACAGUUGGGGGCAUUUGUAUUUCGGUGCUAGAGGUGAAAUUCUUAGAUUACCGAAAGACAAACUGCUGCGAAAGCGUCUGCCAAGGAUGUUUUCAUUGA